UUUCUUUCUUUGGGUCUGGGGGGCCAGGUUCCUUCUUUGAUUUUGGGGGGCCAGGUUCCUUCUUUGGAUCUGGGGGGCCAGUUUGCUUUUUCGGGUCUGGGGAGCCAGGUUCCUUCUUUGAUUUUGGGGGGCCAGGUUCCUUCUUUGGGUCUGGGGGGCCAGGUUCCUUCUUUGGAUCUAGGGGAGUAGGUUCAUUAUUUGGAUCUGGGGGGCCAGGUUCCUUCUGUGGGUCUGGGAGGCCAGGAUCUUUCUCUGUAGCCGGGGGUCCUUCACCUGCUGCACCUUG